rnacentral:lncRNA from 1 species
GAUAAGUGCUAAAUAAUGCACAAAUUAAUAUCUUAUUCAUAGCACUUAUCAUUAUUUUAAUUCACAUAUUUUGUAAAUUCAACUAAAAAAUGUGUUACCUUCAUCACUGCAUUUUAAUAAAUUAUUAAAGGUAAUUCGAGUUUUACUUAUUUAUUUACUGAUUAAGCUUAAUAUAUGCAGGUCGAGUCAAGCUUAAUUAGGUAAAGCCUAAA